GUGAGGAAUUUUCCGCAAUGGGCGAAAGCCUGACGGAGCAAUGCCGCGUGAAGGAGGAAGGCCUAUGGGUUGUAAACUUCUUUUCUUAGAGAAGAAUAUUGACGGUAUCUGAGGAAUAAGCAUCGGCUAACUCUGUGCCAGCAGCCGCGGUAAGACAGAGGAUGCAAGCGUUAUCCGGAAUGAUUGGGCGUAAAGCGUCUGUAGGUGGCUUCAAAAGUCUCCUGUCAAAGAUCAGGGCUUAACCCUGAGCCGGCAGGAGAAACUCUGAGGCUAGAGUUUGGUAGGGGCAGAGGUAAUUCCCGGUGGAGCGGUGAAAUGCGUAGAGAACGGGAGGAACACCAAAGGCGAAAGCACUCUGCUGGGCCACAACUGACACUGAGAGACGAAAGCGAGGGGAGCAAAAGGGAUUAGAAACCCUUGUAGUCC
rnacentral:rRNA from 1 species